rnacentral:snRNA from 9 species
AUACUUACCUGGCGUAGGGAAUACCGUAAUCAUGCAGGCGGUUCCCCCAGGGCGAAGCUGCUCCAUUGUACUGCAGAGUGGUUGACGCUUGCGAUAAUUUUUAUUUUUAUCAAUAAAAAAAUCAUAAUAAUAAAAAAUGUAUACCCGAAUAACUACUUUGUUUAU